rnacentral:rRNA from 1 species
UACAGAGGCCCCAAGCGUUACUGAGAAUCACUGGGUUUAAAGGGUGCGUAGGCGGUCUGUUACGUCCGCUGUGAAAACCCAGGGCUUAACCCUGGGCUUGCAGUGGAUACGGGUAGACUAGAGGCAGGUAGGGGAGAAUGGAAUUCCCGGUGUAGCGGUGAAAUGCGCAGAUAUCGGGAGGAACACCGGUGGCGAAGGCGGUUCUCUGGGCCUGACCUGACGCUGAGGAGCGAAAGCGUGGGGAGCGAACAGG